rnacentral:misc_RNA from 1 species
AACAUCGCGCACCUGCGGGAACCUGCGGAAGGAUCAUUACUGAGUGCGGGUUCCAAUGAGCCCAACCUCCCACCCGUGUUUACCGUAACCGCGUUGCCUCGGCGGGCCCACUGGGGCCUGUCCCCGGUCGCCGGGGGGCAUCUGCCCCCGGGCCCGCGCCCGCCGAAGCGCCCUAGAACCCUGCCUGAACAGUGAGUCUGAGUGAGUGAUUGAAUCAUUAAAACUUUUAGCAACGGAUCU